CAAGAGUAGAAAUUCUGACACAUUAAUUGUUUAAAAAAUCACCUGGGCAACAAAAAACACCUGUCAGUCAGAAC